rnacentral:misc_RNA from 1 species
GAUGAAGAACGUAGCGAACUGCGAUAAGUAAUGUGAAUUGCAGAAUUCAGUGAAUCAUCGAGUCUUUGAACGCACAUUGCGCCCCCUGGCAUUCCGGGGGGCAUGCCUGUCCGAGCGUCAUUGCUGCCCUUCAAGCCCGGCUUGUGUGUUGGGUCGUCGUCCCCCCCGGGGGACGGGCCCGAAAGGCAGCGGCGGCACCGCGUCCGGUCCUCGAGCGUAUGGGGCUUUGUCACCCGCUCGAUUAGGGCCGGCCGGGCGCCAGCCGGCGUCUCCAACCUUCUAUUUUACCAGGUUGACCUCGGAUCAGGUAGGGAUACCCGCUGAACUUAAGCAUAUCAAUAAGAGGAGGA